CCUACGGGUGGCAGCAGUGAGGAAUAUUGGUCAAUGGACGAGAGUCUGACCCAGCGACGUAGCGUGAAGGAUGACUGCCCUAUGGGUUGUAAACUUCGUUUAUAUGGGAAUAAAACGUUCCACGUGUGGGAUUUUGUAUGUACCAUAUGAAUAAGGAUCGGCUAACUCCGUGCCAGCCUCCGCGGUAAUACGGAGGAGCCGAGCGUUGUCCGGAUUUAAUGGGUUUAAAGGGAGCGUAGGUGGAUUGUUAAGUCAGUUGUGAAAGUUUGCGGCUCAACCGUAAAAUUGCAGUUGAAACUGGCAGUCUGGAGUACAGUAGAGGUGAGUGGAAUUCGUGGUGUAGCGGUGAAAUGCUUAGAUAUCUCGAAGAACUCCGAUUGCGAAGGCAGUUCACUGGACUGCAACUGACACUGAGGCUCGAAAGUGUGGGUAUCAAACAGGAUUAGAUACCCGAGUAGUC
rnacentral:rRNA from 1 species